UGGGGAAUAUUGGACAAUGGGCGCAAGCCUGAUCCAGCGACGCCGCGUGUGUGAAGAAGGCCUGCGGGUUGUAAAGCACUUUCGAUGGGAACGAAAUGUGCCGGGUUAAUACCCCGGUAAGCUGACGUUACUCAAUGAAGAAGCACCGGCUAACUCUGUGCCAGCAGCCGCGGUAAUACAGAGGGUGCGAGCGUUAAUCGGAAUUACUGGGCGUAAAGCGCACGUAGGUGGCGACGUAAGUCGGGUGUGAAAGCCCCGGGCUCAACCUGGGAAUUGCAUUCGAGACUGCAUUGCUGGAGUACGGAAGAGGAGGGCGGAAUUCCCGGUGUAGCGGUGAAAUGCGUAGAUAUCAAGAGGAACACCUGAGGUGAAGACGGGUUGCUGGGCUGACACUGACGCUCAGGCACGAAAGCAUGGGGAGCAAAAGGGAUUAGAUACCCCCGUAGUCCCUGAGCGGGCUGGCAAGGCGCAU
rnacentral:rRNA from 1 species